AAAAAUAAGAUGCUGAAUUCAAAGCAUUUUGAAAAUGACACACUUCCUGCUGCCAGUUGGUGGCGCUGUAACUUUGACUCCUAAUAGUCACAUAUAUGCGAUCGGCAUCAUACAUCGAACAAACCAAUGAAGUUUGAUCAAACUCAGGCGAUGUAUGUGGAUGUUAUUAGACAUUUCCUGUUUCUCAUUUUUUGCCCUAAUUUCAACGCCUCGCCACGGACAAACCGUUUGAGAUAUCAAAAAUCCCCUGGCAAUUUUUCAUCCCCAAUGUCUUGACAUCAUGUUCACCGAGUUUCAUGGAGAAUGGGUGGAAAACCUCAGAGGAGUAUUUCAAAUUCCAGAGCAUGCUUUUUUUAAACAGCCCUGAAUAGCUCACUUCCUGUUGGGCGGAGCCUAUGACAUAGAGCGCGAAAGUUGUUCGGCUCAAUGAGAUCUAUAAGUGUACAGAGUUUCAUAUAAAUACAUGCAAGUAUGUGUGAGCUAUGGUUCAAGAUUUCUGACUGUGUUCCAGGGGGCGCUGUAGAGCCCCUGUGCCACGCCCGGGUCCCAGACUCUGCGGCGUCCUGAUGGCCGCAGGUUCCAAUGUGUGUGCCAAUUUUCA
ensembl:lncRNA